rnacentral:rRNA from 1 species
GAGUUUGAUCUUGGCUCAGGAUGAACGCUGGCGGCGUGCCUAACACAUGCAAGUCGAACGAAGCACUUUAUUACGAUUUCUUCGGAAUGACGAUUUGGUGACUGAGUGGCGGACGGGUGAGUAACGCGUGGAUAACCUGCCCCAUACAGGGGGGAUAACAGUUAGAAAUGACUGCUAAUACCGCAUAAGCGCACAGUAUCGCAUGAUACAGUGUAGAAAAACUCCGGUGGUAUGGGAUGGAUCCGCGUCUGAUUAGCC